rnacentral:lncRNA from 1 species
AAACUUACUUAAAACAUGCCAUAAGCUCAAGAUCGGCCCUUACCUCUUGAAGAUCGAGAGGAGAACGACCCUAGCUCGAAAAAUGGGAGAGAGAGAGUUCCUUGAACCUCCAAGCUCCAAAACUUGCUCAAAUGCUCAAAACCUUCAAAACAAAGUUGCAAACUCAUAAAAAUCAUGAAGAAUGGAAGGAAGAAACUCAAGAUUGGUGAGGGAC